UUUAUGGAGAGUUUGAUCCUGGCUCAGGAUGAACGCUGGCGGCGUGCCUAAUACAUGCAAGUCGAGCGAACGGACGAGAAGCUUGCUUCUCUGAUGUUAGCGGCGGACGGGUGAGUAACACGUGGAUAACCUACCUAUAAGACUGGGAUAACUUCGGGAAACCGGAGCUAAUACCGGAUAAUAUUUUGAACCGCAUGGUUCAAAAGUGAAAGACGGUCUUGCUGUCACUUAUAGAUGGAUCCGCGCUGCAUUAGCUAGUUGGUAAGGUAACGGCUUACCAAGGCAACGAUGCAUAGCCGACCUGAGAGGGUGAUCGGCCACACUGGAACUGAGACACGGUCCAGACUCCUACGGGAGGCAGCAGUAGGGAAUCUUCCGCAAUGGGCGAAAGCCUGACGGAGCAACGCCGCGUGAGUGAUGAAGGUCUUCGGAUCGUAAAACUCUGUUAUUAGGGAAGAACAUAUGUGUAAGUAACUGUGCACAUCUUGACGGUACCUAAUCAGAAAGCCACGGCUAACUACGUGCCAGCAGCCGCGGUAAUACGUAGGUGGCAAGCGUUAUCCGGAAUUAUUGGGCGUAAAGCGCGCGUAGGCGGUUUUUUAAGUCUGAUGUGAAAGCCCACGGCUCAACCGUGGAGGGUCAUUGGAAACUGGAAAACUUGAGUGCAGAAGAGGAAAGUGGAAUUCCAUGUGUAGCGGUGAAAUGCGCAGAGAUAUGGAGGAACACCAGUGGCGAAGGCGACUUUCUGGUCUGUAACUGACGCUGAUGUGCGAAAGCGUGGGGAUCAAACAGGAUUAGAUACCCUGGUAGUCCACGCCGUAAACGAUGAGUGCUAAGUGUUAGGGGGUUUCCGCCCCUUAGUGCUGCAGCUAACGCAUUAAGCACUCCGCCUGGGGAGUACGACCGCAAGGUUGAAACUCAAAGGAAUUGACGGGGACCCGCACAAGCGGUGGAGCAUGUGGUUUAAUUCGAAGCAACGCGAAGAACCUUACCAAAUCUUGACAUCCUUUGACAACUCUAGAGAUAGAGCUUUCCCCUUCGGGGGACAAAGUGACAGGUGGUGCAUGGUUGUCGUCAGCUCGUGUCGUGAGAUGUUGGGUUAAGUCCCGCAACGAGCGCAACCCUUAAGCUUAGUUGCCAUCAUUAAGUUGGGCACUCUAAGUUGACUGCCGGUGACAAACCGGAGGAAGGUGGGGAUGACGUCAAAUCAUCAUGCCCCUUAUGAUUUGGGCUACACACGUGCUACAAUGGACAAUACAAAGGGCAGCGAAACCGCGAGGUCAAGCAAAUCCC
rnacentral:rRNA from 1 species